rnacentral:lncRNA from 1 species
AAAAUUUACAUCAAGGAGGCUGUUCGGGACUUGAGGAACAGUUUUGCUACGCACCUUCCGAACGCCAUAACUACCUCAUCCGGAGUCGGAAUUAGUCCGUUCCGGAGUCUAUGGAAAGCUAAAACAGUGUACUACAACAUAUCAAAAGCCCAGAAUUUUUAAAGCACAAAAACUGGACGAAAUUGCCCUCGCUACUGACUGCCCCGAAUCUGCCCAUUUUUGGUUAUAAAAACGGAACUGUUUUCACCAAAUCAGUCACUACCCCAUGUAAACUCAACAUUUUUGAGUACUACCACUUGGGUUAACUACUAAACACAUAUAUCUAACAUCCCUUUUUGACGGAUCGCAAAAAGAAGUCAUAGAUUUAAAACGGUGAAAUUUCAAAGUACUAGGAAAUUUCGGAUUCAAAACUAGAAAAUAAAUUUUCUUUAUUCUUUUGAUUCACCCAAAUCAACAUCAAAAAUGAGUAAAUCCAUACAUAAAUCCAUAGAAAACACAUAGAUCUUAAGGGUUUGAACAUCCAAAUCAAAACCCCCUUUCAUAAAAAUUCCAUAGAAAGAGAUUAGAGAGAGAUGUUAUACCUUUCUUUUCUUCUCCUUCUUCCUUCUUCUUCAUGGAGAUCCUUCCAUCUCCUCCUCUUCCCACACAAGGGCUUCGGCCACUUCCCUUUUCUCUCCCUCUCUUCCUCCCAUUUCUUCUUUCUCUCCCUUUCUCAUCUAAUCCUUAUCUUUUCUUUUUCUUUCUCUUUUAUUCUAGCAACCUUAUAUCUCUUUUUUUUUUUUUAGAAAAAUUCGGCCAAGUGGCCUCCAAAUCAUCCAAGUGGGCUUAAUUUAAUUUACUUCCUAAAUGACUAAAAUGUCCUUCCAUAAUUGGCCAACACUUGGACAUUUUAUUUAAUUCCUUUGGGCUAUGUAAUAUUUACAUAGUCCAAUCAUUUUCAAUUGGUCUCACCCUAAAUAUUUAAUUAGGGUACUCAUUCCAAAUAUUUAGAAUUUAAAUCAUUACUCUACUACAUUAAAUUCUAUAACUCAGUUAAGCUUAUUUUAAUUAAGUUAUAAAAUUAAUAACUUGAGAUAAUAAAAAAAUAUAUCUCUCAACUUAAUAUAAUUUAUUAUUAUCCCACAAGUGGCUUAACUUGGGCCAUUAAUUAAUUCCAUUGAGCUAGCUAUUUUACUUGUUUACUACUAACAAAAACUAAUUUGGGCUUCCACCCAAAAUUUGAUUACGUCAUUAUAAUACUUGUCACAUACAUAAUAUGUUAGGCUAGAUUAAAUAAUUUAAUCAUCCUUAAUCAUUUAUCUACAAGUUCCCAUGCUUAAUUAAUUAAUUGGGCUUGUUUAAAUAAUAUAACCUCCUUAGCCCAUUAAAUCCACUUCUCU